AAGUCGUAACAAGGUCUCCGUAGGUGAACCUGCGGAGGGAUCAUUACAGAGUUCGUGCCCCUUGGGGUAGACCUCCCACCCGUGCCGAUUCUACUUUGUUGCUUUGGCAGGCCACGCGCCUGCCAGAGGCCCUCAACUCGAAAUUUAGUGUUGUCUAAGUCCAUAUAAAUCGUUAAAACUUUCAACAACGGAUCUCUUGGUUCUG
rnacentral:misc_RNA from 1 species